GAUGAACGCUGACAGAAUGCUUAACACAUGCAAGUCAACUUGAAUUUGGGUUUUUAACUUAGAUUUGGGUGGCGGACGGGUGAGUAACGCGUAAAGAACUUGCCCCACAGCUAGGGACAACAUUUAGAAAUGAAUGCUAAUACCUGAUAUUAUGAUUUUAAGGCAUCUUAGAAUUAUGAAAGCUAUAAGCACUGUGAGAGAGCUUUGCGUCCCAUUAGCUAGUUGGAGAGGUAACAGCUCACCAAGGCGAUGAUGGGUAGCCGGCCUGAGAGGGUGAACGGCCACAAGGGGACUGAGACACGGCCCUUACUCCUACGGGAGGCAGCAGUGGGGAAUAUUGGACAAUGGACCGAGAGUCUGAUCCAGCAAUUCUGUGUGCACGAUGAAGUUUUUCGGAAUGUAAAGUGCUUUCAGUUGGGAAGAAAAAAAUGACGGUACCAACAGAAGAAGUGACGGCUAAAUACGUGCCAGCAGCCGCGGUAAUACGUAUGUCACGAGCGUUAUCCGGAUUUAUUGGGCGUAAAGCGCGUCUAGGUGGUUAUGUAAGUCUGAUGUGAAAAUGCAGGGCUCAACUCUGUAUUGCGUUGGAAACUGUAUAACUAGAGUACUGGAGAGGUAAGCGGAACUACAAGUGUAGAGGUGAAAUUCGUAGAUAUUUGUAGGAAUGCCGAUGGGGAAGCCAGCUUACUGGACAGAUACUGACGCUAAAGCGCGAAAGCGUGGGUAGCAAACAGG
rnacentral:rRNA from 1 species